GUAGGAGGAUAGACCAACUAUCUUUGAGGCUUUUAAGGCUAUGACAACAUUACAUUAGUAAAAUAAUUUCUUUUACAAAUUAAAUGUGAAUGUGUUAGGUCCAUAAUCUUACAACCUGUAGGUGGCAGUGCCUUCCUUCUCUAUACACAGCUAUAUGCCUGGUUUCAUUUCCUGAGUAGCUGAGAAGCCUGCAAUGCAUACAGUGUUAGAUGCUGGGCCAUCUACUCCUUGCCCAAGAAAGCCCCUCCAGGGACAGCUGAAUCAGAUAACUGGAGUUUGCAUUCUGAGAACUAUUGUUCUGAAUUAACAUGUGAGGUUUUAAAAUUUUUUCUUAUUUUCUUGUUUAACUUAUUACAUUUUUAUCCUCUGCAUGGGGUUUUAGACUUAACAUCUCUGGAAAGCCAGAAAUCAGAGAUACAGAGAAGUAUUGAAAUGCUGAAAUGCUAUGAAUUUACUAUAAGAGAACAUUCUUCACUGAAGAGAUCUCUAGCUGCCAAAACACCCUUUCAUGCGUGAAAUACCGGGGCAAAGAGGAAGGAAAAGAGAAGAGUAUGACUCUAGGAACCAUGUUGCAGAAAUGCCAAAGGGUGGGACAAACAAAUAUAUUUAUAACAUAAAUGAGAACCAAGAAGACAAACAAACCAAAUCUCUGGGGAACAGAAGCCACUCUACAAAGUCUUCACAACGGAGCUAAUAUUUGAUUUGCAUUUUGGAGGAGAAAUAGAAAUUUGCUCAAUGGACUGAAGUGUGGGCAGGAGAAAAAGGGAAUCCUUGGCAGAAACACCGUAACAUGGAAUGGUGAAAAACAAAACAAAAUACAAUGAGAUUAAGGAACUGCAGAAAUACUUCUAAACCUGGAACAUAGGGUAUAAAAAAGGAAGACUCAAGAUAUGGUUCCAAGUUCCUUAGACCGUGGCUAUAUCAUGAAGAGCCUUAGAUGGCAAAGUAAAAAGUUUGAAUUUUGUAUUUUAUGAUCCUUAAAGUGCCUAGGAAAAUAUUAACACAUAUGAGCUAUCCAUAUAAUCGUUCUUGAACUGAAAUUACAAGUAUAUAGAGUAUGUGUCAGGAGGCUCUGAACUGGUGCCUGUAACUUUAUGAUGAGCUUACUGUUUUAGCUGCUGGAACAUUUUAGCACCUUUCUUGACCUAUUAUUACAUAAGUUUUUGUUGCCUUUCAACUUUUCGGAGAACAAUUCUGCCAUUUCUUUUUGAGUUUGAGCAUUUUCCUACCUGCACAAAGGGAAGAUGAGGUAUGGGCUGUAAUGACUUUGGAAGAUCCAAAUAGCUAUCAUCUUGGCUGGAGAGAGGGUGACUUCCAAGCAAGGGCCUGUGCUCUGGCCUCACUCUCUGCGGCUCUGCAACAUGAGCCUCAGCAUCCCCUGUGCUACUCACUAGAAAGUGGACCUGACAGCUUUGGCAGAGUUACUAAUGUGGAGAAAGAAGAUUAUCAUGUGUGGAACGAAGGACAAUAUGAACAUUAAAUAAUGCCCUGACUCAUUCCAAAAAGAAUCUGAGAUGACCAAUAAAGCCAUUUUUAAUUGUUUAUUAGUGAACAAUAGAUUAUGAGUGCUAAAGGGAUUCAGGAAGAAGAAAGAUCAGUGCAGAGUAGAGAAGUCUGAUGGAUGCAUUGAAGAAGCUAUGCUUGAGCUGAAAUGACAAGAGAGCUGUUUUUCGCUUUCAGAAUUAUUAUGUGGCAAUGGUAAUUGACAACAGAGAAGCUGAAGGUAUGAGGACAAGGGUGUCUUAUCUUUCCCCAGAAGUCUUGCUUGGCCCAUGGGAGAAUACAGGCCUGCACCUUGGACUUGGAGUCAGUAGAUUCCUUCCUGUGAUUUUUUACAAGCUCAAACAUCCCCUGACUGAGUCAUUCACCAGAGAAAGAGGCUUUUCAAAUGAUUUGUGCAUUAGCUAUAGUCUGCCUUAUUCAACCCCAUUUUAGUGUCACAAAAGCUUCUUCUUCCUACAUUGUUAGAGCCUUUUUGACUUUUCUGAAACGACAUCUGCUCACCUCUUGGGUAACACCCUGCAGGGCUCAGUCGAGCUCAGUCACCCUUCACUUUUUUUUUUUUUUUUUUGAGCCAGUUUUGUAAGGUGCUGAGGGAGGUUUGUAUUAGUCCUUGUUGCCCCUAGAAGAAAUAACAGCUAUAAUUUUGGCCCCGAAGAAAAGGAACAGGUAUGACUAUUCUCUCUCUUUCUCUCAAACCACAAUCUACUCUAGGGAGGAAGUCACUUUAUGGGAGCAGAGUCACUCUCAAGUAAUAGCUGGCCAUACAGAUUGCUCUGGACCAAGGGUGAAUGUGAAGAAGAAAAGACCGGCCAGCAACACAAUGGAAUAUCUAGAGUCAUAUUGAGGGAAAUACUUAGAUUGCUGAUUUCUUAGUGGAUUUCACAAGCAGAGCUGCUUGUGAGCAGAAUGGUGAAGUAGGGGCAUGUGUUUCUGGGGUCUUAUUCCAUGGCUUCCUUCCACCUACAAGAGUCAUCCUCACGGAGUACUUGCAUUUCAGUAGAAGAAAAAAAUCUUAUAGAUGGAAGGGAAGGAUGGGGUUCCUGCUUUAGGAAGAUUGGCAUGGUCAUAAGUCUGAGCAAGGAAGGGCCCAGGGCAGCUCAGAGCUCUGAGCAGGAAGCUCUAAUUAGUUACUGAAUAUGGUGCAAGCACAAAGAGAGCGUAGUGUUUUCCCUUUCCAUCUGUGGAAGUCUUGGCCAUGCUUACUUGGGCGUUCCUUCCAGGAAACAUUUAUUUUUCCUCUUUAAUGCCCUCCUCAUAUCUAUGCUCUCAGUAGAGGAUGCCACUGCUUCUGGCACCUGGAUAAUAGAAUGAAGCUGAUUGGGAUGGAAACAGAAAAGUCAUCUCUCAGAACAAUGAGCAGAGACUGAAACUCCCUUGUACCCAGUCCCUGUGCACUGCUGUUCAUAGCCAAAUGGGCAAGGCCUUGCCAAAUGUCAUGUUGAGGUGAGGCCCUAAGUGAUAGAAAAAUAAAAAAUGACUAUGGCCACUUGCAUGUUCAGAGAAUUCAGUUUAGAAAAUGCUAUGCUGGGAGGAUCUCUCUUAAUAUCUUGUUUGCAUCAGAAUGUUCAAGUUGCAAUAUAUGUUUUUGUUUUGUGUAUUUAUUUAUUUUCCUCUACUCUAUUCUGUUAAGUCUUUUAGGGCAAAGGUAGGGUAGUCUAUACUCCCUGCGUUAUCCAUAAUGCCUAGCACUGUGUCUUGUACAUAAAAGGUCAUAAUAAAUACCUGUUGGCUAGAUAGAUGAAUGGAUAGAGUGCCUCAUUUAGAAGCAUUAUACUUCUAUGGAAAAAAAUUUUUAAAUGUAUUUUUUUCUAUGAGAUAACACAGUUCCUGAAUAGGUCAUGGGCAGGUGCUAUUCAAGUUUGCGAAGGAAAGGUUUUCCUAGAGUUAGGGUAAUUUUUUCCUCAAAUAAGAAAAACCUACAGUAAAUAAUUACUCUCCAUAUUAUCUUUAGGUUUCUUGCCAGUAUUAACAUCUUUUUUAUUGUAAGUGAUGAUAUUGUCUGUGAGAACAUUACAGUAGGUUAGUAUCCUGGGUUAAGCUAAGUGUUGUUGAAAAUAAUCCUGGACAUCCAAACAGGAAGAGAGGAAGUCAAACUAUUCCUGUUUGCAAAUAACAUGAUUCUAUAUCUAGAAAACCCUGUAAUGUCAGCCCCAAGGCUCUGUGAGAUCAGAGAUAAAUAACCUCAGCAAAGUCAACAUACAAACAUCAGUAGCAUUCCUUAUACAAACAACAUCCAAGCUGAUGGCCAAAUCAGGAUGCAAUCCCAUUCACAAUUGCCCCCCCAAAAAUAUAAAAUACUUAGGAAUACAGCUAACCAGGGAUGUGAAAGAUCUCUAUAAUAAGAAUUACAAAACACUGCUCAAAAAAUCAUAGAUGACACCAAAAAUUGGAAAAAUAAUCCAUGCUCAUGGAUUGGAUGAAUCAAUAUCAUUAAAAUGGCCAUACUGCCCAAAGCAAUUUACAGAUUUCACAGAUUCAGUGCUAUUCCUAUCAAAAUAUCAAUGACAUUUUUCGUGGAAUUAGAAAAAACUAUUUUAAAAUUGACAUGGAACCCAAAAGGGACCCCGAAUAGUCGAGGCAAUCCUAAACAAAAAGAACAAAGCUGGAGGUAUUAUAUUACCCAAUGUCAACAUAUACUACAGGGCUAUAGUAACCAAAAGAGCAUGGUACUGGUACAAAAACAGACACAUAGACCAAUAGAACGUAAUAAAGAGCCCAGAAAUAAUGUCACACCACUUACAACCAUCUGAUCUUCAAUAAAGCUGACAAAAACAAACAAUAGGGAAAAGAUUCCUCAUUCAAUAAAUGGUGCUGGGAUAACUGGCUAGUCAUAUGCAGAAGAUUGAAACUGGACACCCCACCUUACACUACAUACAAAAAUCAGUGUAAGAUGAAUUAAAGGCUUAAAUGUAAAACCUAAAACUAUAAAAACCCUGAAAGAUAACCUAGGAAAUACCAUUCUGGACAUAGAACUUGGCAAAGAUUUCAUGAUGAAGACAACAAAAGCAAUUGCAACAAAAACAAAAAUUGACAAAUGGGAUCUAAUUAAACUGAAGAGCUUCUGAACAAAAAAAGAAACUAUCAACAGAGUAAACAGACAACCUACAGAAUGGGAGAAGAUAUCUGCAAACUAUGCAUCCAACAAAGGUCUAAUAUCCAGAUGCUGUAAGGAACUUAAAUUUAUAAGCAUAAACAAACAACCCCAUUAAAAAGUGGGCAAAGGACAUGAAGAGAUACUUUUCAAAAGAAGACAUAUAUGUGGCCAACAAGCAUAUAAAAAAUGCUCAACAUCACUAAUCAUUAGAGAAAUGCAAAUUAAAACCACAGUGAAAUACCAUCCCACACCAGUCAGAAUGGCUAUUAUUAAAAGUUGAAAAAUAAUAGGUGCUAGCAAUGUUGUGGAGAAAAGGGAACACUUAUACACCACUGAUGGGAAUGUAAAUUAGUUCAGCCACUGUAGAAAGCAGUUGGGUGAUUCCUCAAAGAACUUAAAAAAACAGAGUUACCAUCCAACCUAGCAACCCCAUUAUUGGGUAUAAUCCAAAGGAAUAUAAAUUGUUCUAUCAUAAAGACACAUGCACAUGUAUAUUCAUUGCAGCACUAUUCGCAAUAAGAAAGAUAUGGCAUCACCCUAAAUGCCCAUCAGUGGUAGACUGGAUAAAGAAAAUGUGGUGCAUAUACACCAUGGAAUACUAUGCAGCCAUAAAAAACAAUGAGAUCAUGUCCUGUGAAGCAACAUGGAUGGAUCUGGAAGCCAUUAUCCUAAGCAAACUAACACAAGAACAGAAAACCAAAUAUGGCAUGUUCUUACAAGUGGAAGCUAAACAAUAGGAACACAUGGAUAUUAGAAGGGUAACAGAAGAUAUUGGGGCCUACUUGAGGGUGGAAAGUGGGAGGAAGGAGAGGAUCGGAAAAAUACCUAUUGGGUACUAUGUUUAUUACCUGGAUGAUAAAAUUAUCUGUCACCAAACCCCUGUGACAUGCAGUUUACCUAUAUAACAAACCUGCACAUGUACCCCUGAGCCUAAAAUAAAAGUUUAAAAAAAAAAAAGAAAAUACACCUGGACCCUAUUUUGAAAGACAUACUGUAGACUUGAGGGAGGAAGAGCAGAGGGAUGGAAAGGGCCCCGAAUUACCCACAAGCCAUGUGAAUGCUUAAGCAGUCAUGGACCACAAUUCUCACCACACACACACACACACACACACACACACACACACACACACACACACAGGUCUGAACCCUUACCCCUGUCUACUACUUAUUGGAGCUUGGUAGAAAAAAAGUUGUGAGUGACAGAAAAGUGAGAAAAAGAGAAGAAGAAGAAAAAUUGGAAAGUGUGGAAGAAAAAGUGGCAAAUGCAAGCAGCCCUUAAUGGAACUGUGCUGAAUUGAGAGACAGCAGAAGGUAACAGCUGGCUGGGACUUGGCCAUGAAAGGUGGAAUGUGAGGAGACAAAUGAAAUGGAAAUGCAGGAAAGAAUGGAGUGGCAAAGGAGGCUGGAGAUGGGGCAGAGGAUAGCAAGGGGAGAGAAGGAAGCACAGAAAGGGUGUGGGGGACAGGCCAGAGAGUAGAAGGCUAGAUGGAACUGACUGAUGCCACCAGUCAGAGAUGGAGACCAUUAACAAUGUGUAGGGAAACCCCUGCCUUCCCAAUAAUGAAAAUGCAGGUUUAAUCAGUACCAAGGAACACUGUGAAGUAAGGGCAUUGACUUGGGAAGUGAAAGCCGAAGAUAGAGCAAACCCCAUACGGCAUAUCCUAACUCGCCAUUUUAACAGCAGAAAGACUCGAAAAUACAAAGCAAAGGAUUAUCCAAAGGGCUUUUUAAAAUAAUGCUUAAAAUUUUAAUCUUGUAAAUAUAUUUCCCUUCCCAGUAUGAAAAUAAUUCCGAGUAUAAUCUUUAUUUACUUUCCCCUUUUUAUUUUAGAAGAGUAAACAUAGCUUUAAGAAUUAAAAAAAUCAGUUAAUAAUCUGACUUUUAAGUCAGCUGUAAAAAUGUAAGUUUCUAGCUCUGCCACUUUUUAGUAGUGUGACUUUGGGCAAAUUGCUCAAAAACUCCAAAUUCUUGUUUCUUUACCUACAAAAAAGGGACAAUAAUACAUACCUCCUAUGAUAGUAGAAAAUUACGUGAAAAUAUACUCCAAGUAUCUCAGAGGGCUUGAUUUCCAGAAAGCGCCCAAGCUCAAUCAAUAGUGACGUUUACUAUCCACGCAGCCAGUUCUACUACUGGGAGUUGGUUGGUGCUGAUAAAGCUUUUUGUCAGACUUCUCACAAUUUCCAUUGUGAGAAGAUGUAGCUUCCAAUUAACUCUGUCACUGAUUGUUGGGUAACUUUGGGCCAAAUGCUGUUCCUUAAUGAAUGUGGGUGUGAAACUUAUUAAGAUUAAUGACUGUCACAGCUGUUAGCCAGAUGUUUACAUAAUUCCCUCUGUUUUACAGCAAUCAUAUCAGAGGAAAGGGGUUGAAUGAUAGAAUUAGAAAAAUAAGUACAAUAUUGUGGGAAUGAAUAAAUGUUGUUUUGGAGGGUAGGAGAUUAAAAUCCUAAAUGUAUUUUGAUUAGGCUAAUAUUAAAAAUUAGCAUCUGUAAAUCAGUAAUCUAAUUGAAGGAAUUUUUUAACACAAGUGACUGGUGGAGGGGACACAGCAUGGGAGGGCAUGCUUACAGCAAGAGCUCCAUUGAUUAAAUAGUCCCCUGCAGAACACAGAGAGUUAAAUACGUCUUUAAUAGCCUCCAGCAUGAAAGGGCAAAUCAUUUGUUUUAAUUGAGGAAGGAUAAAAUAUUUUUGCUUUACACAUAUAUGUUCUAUUUUAGCAUCAUAGUUAUUUUUAUAGCUGUUAUAACUUCACAAAACCUAAUAGGAAAAUAAAUCUGAAUCCAGAAGAGUUCAAUACUUUCCAGAGGAGUCUAGUAAAUAAAAACUCUACACUGACUGACUGAUCUUAUUCAUGCACUGCUCCUAAACCCAAACUCUCAAGUGAAGGGAAAAGAGGUUAAUUCGUUGGAAUAAAUUCAUGGGAUUUUUUUUUAAAGACACAUCCUGAAUCAAAGUGAUUAAAACAACAAAUGGAUAAAGGGUAGAGCUGUGAGAGGACAAGGUUUGCAUUACUGAGCAUCUUGAUUAUGUGGGGAAGAUGGGAAACAGAUCUUGCCCAUUCUGGUCUCAAACUACUAAAUCCUGAGAAUGCCAAGAGGCGAGUCACUGAAGUCAGAAGUUGGAAACAUGGCUAAGCUGUCCAGAGUGUGGAACACAUGGUCUCUGAAGGUUUUUAUUAGUGUGUGGGUGAGAGUUCAGAAGCUCUACUAAUUACUUUUGUUUUCAGAAUUUAUAAAGUUAAGACAGAAAGCGGAAUAUUAACACUUCACUUCCUCGUGCAGUCAUUAAUUUACUCACUUAGCAUACAUUUAUUCAUAGAAGCUUAUUGGUACCAAGUAUACCCUCAAUGAGCAACCAACCCAAAAUUGCAAAAGGGAGAUCAAACAGGGAAGCUGUGGUAGGAAGUAUCAUGGCCUCUUCAAAGAUGUCUAUAUACUAAUCACAGAAUUUAUGUAUAUGUGAUGCUGUAUGUCAAGGGAAGAUUAAGGUGUGCAGAUGGAAUUAAGGUUGCUAAUCAGCUGACCUUAAAAUAGGAGUACUAUCUUGGAAUAUCUGGGUGGGCUCAAUGUAAUCACAAAUGUUCUUAACAGAUAGAAGAAGAAGGCAGAGGAGUCAGUGUUGGAGUGAUGCCAUGUGAGAAAGACUCAACUGGCCAUUGCUGGCUUUGAAAAUGGAAGGAGGCAUAAGCCAAGGAAUGAAUGCAGGUGCCUCUAGAACCUGGAAAAAGCAAGGAAACAAAUUCUCCUCUAGAACCUCCAGAAGGAAUGCAUUCCUGCCAACACCUUGAUUUUUAGCUCGGUGAGACCCAUGCUGGACUUCUGACCUGCAGGAUUGCAAGAUAAGAUAUUUGACUUAUUUUAAGAUGCUAAGUUUGCAGUAAUUUGAUAUGGUAGCCAUCGGAAACUAAUACCGAUGCCAAAGCAGUAAAGCAGGAAAGCACUCCAAAAUCACAGGAGUGAGAGGAGCAGAAAUGUCCUAGGAGAAGACAAUGUUUCCUUUUGAAAAGGAAAGUUUACUGGCAACUUCCAUUUGAAUUUCUUAAUUUCUUUCCUCAGUGGCAGUCACUACUUCCAAGGUGGCAGGUUCCAGAGCUGAUUCAUUAUAUAAUCUUUUCUCAGGAGUAUUCUAGCCACCUUUAAAGAAGCUAGGGCCAUUUUCCUGACACUGCAUCAAGGGGUAAGGUUAGUGGUAAAGAAACCAUGCGGUAGGAAAGGCCAACUUUCUCCCUACAUAAUCCAAUCGCAUUAUCUCCAGACUUGCUCACCCUCUGCUCUUUGCAUACUGCAGCUCCAGAGCUUUCAUACCUACAGACUUCCUGGAGUUAAGACUAAAACAAGAGUUGUGCUACAGACUACCGUUCCUAUUAUCAUUUUUUGUGUCCUGCUGAGUCCUCCCCUCUUGGCAACUUCAGGACCACCCACUGGGAAGAUAAUAUACAACCCAUCAGGAAACUCCCAGUGCCCAUCGUGGAGGCCAAGUGCUGCCAACUCUGAUUGCUUCUGGAAUGCCAUUUCUUCCCUGCCCUUUCAAUAUUCUUGUUAUGCGACUCCUAUGAUCACUGCCAAUCUGUAGAAAAUUACAGGAUGAAUUUUUGUGAAGGACUGAAUUUGCAUACUGGUCUUUUGUUGUUUAUUGUUGGGGGGAUUUUGCUUUUUGCACACAAUUUCUGCACAUUUUAUUGGAAGUUAUUGGGUUAGAUUCAUCCCAUUCAUUCACUAGCCUGGCAUUGCUAUGCAUGUGCUGUAGGGGCUUAGCAUUAAACGAUUUUCUUUGUUCAGAUUUGGAUUGCUGUCUCUGCUUGCAAAUUAUUUUUCACAAUGACUCCUUCUUUUCCUUCUCUCUCUCUCUCUUUCUCUCUCUCUCUCUCUCACACACACACACAGACACACACACACACACACACACACACACACACACACACACACAGAUGAGGUUAGAUAUUUUUCCAUUGCCAAGUUCAGGACCCAUGAAUAC
rnacentral:lncRNA from 10 species